rnacentral:rRNA from 1 species
AUGAACGCUAGCGACAGGCUUAACACAUGCAAGUCGAGGGGCAGCGGGGGUAGCAAUACCCGCCGGCGACCGGCGCACGGGUGAGUAACGCGUAUGCAACUUACCUAUCAGAGGGGGAUAACCCGGCGAAAGUCGGACUAAUACCGCAUGAAGCAGGGAUCCCGCAUGGGAAUAUUUGCUAAAGAUUCAUCGCUGAUAGAUAGGCAUGCGUUCCAUUAGGCAGUUGGCGGGGUAACGGCCCACCAAACCGACGAUGGAUAGGGGUUCUGAGAGGAAGGUCCCCCACAUUGGUACUGAGACACGGACCAAACUCCUACGGGAGGCAGCAGUGAGGAAUAUUGGUCAAUGGCCGAGAGGCUGAACCAGCCAAGUCGCGUGAGGGAUGAAGGUUCUAUGGAUCGUAAACCUCUUUUAUAAGGGAAUAAAGUGCGGGACGUGUCCCGUUUUGUAUGUACCUUAUGAAUAAGGAUCGGCUAACUCCGUGCCAGCAGCCGCGGUAAUACGGAGGAUCCGAGCGUUAUCCGGAUUUAUUGGGUUUAAAGGGUGCGUAGGCGGCCUUUUAAGUCAGCGGUGAAAGUCUGUGGCUCAACCAUAGAAUUGCCGUUGAAACUGGGGGGCUUGAGUAUGUUUGAGGCAGGCGGAAUGCGUGGUGUAGCGGUGAAAUGCAUAGAUAUCACGCAGAACCCCGAUUGCGAAGGCAGCCUGCCAAGCCAUGACUGACGCUGAUGCACGAAAGCGUGGGGAUCAAACAGGAUUAGAUACCCUGGUAGUCCACGCAGUAAACGAUGAUCACUAGCUGUUUGCGAUACACUGUAAGCGGCACAGCGAAAGCGUUAAGUGAUCCACCUGGGGAGUACGCCGGCAACGGUGAAACUCAAAGGAAUUGACGGGGGCCCGCACAAGCGGAGGAACAUGUGGUUUAAUUCGAUGAUACGCGAGGAACCUUACCCGGGUUUGAACGCAUUCGGACCGAGGUGGAAACACCUUUUCUAGCAAUAGCCGUUUGCGAGGUGCUGCAUGGUUGUCGUCAGCUCGUGCCGUGAGGUGUCGGCUUAAGUGCCAUAACGAGCGCAACCCUUGCCACUAGUUACUAACAGGUAAAGCUGAGGACUCUGGUGGGACUGCCAGCGUAAGCUGCGAGGAAGGCAGGGAUGACGUCAAAUCAGCACGGCCCUUACAUCCGGGGCGACACACGUGUUACAAUGGCGUGGACAAAGGGAAGCCACCUGGCGACAGGGAGCGAAUCCCCAAACCACGUCUCAGUUCGGAUCGGAGUCUGCAACCCGACUCCGUGAAGCUGGAUUCGCUAGUAAUCGCGCAUCAGCCAUGGCGCGGUGAAUACGUUCCCGGGCCUUGUACACACCGCCCGUCAAGCCAUGGGAGCCGGGGGUACCUGAAGUCCGUAACCGCGAGGAUCGGCCUAGGGUAAAACUGGUGACUGGGGCU